rnacentral:rRNA from 1 species
UUGAACGCUGGCGGCAGGCCUAACACAUGCAAGUCGAGCGGAUGAAGGGAGCUUGCUCCUGGAUUCAGCGGCGGACGGGUGAGUAAUGCCUAGGAAUCUGCCUGGUAGUGGGGGAUAACGUCCGGAAACGGGCGCUAAUACCGCAUACGUCCUGAGGGAGAAAGUGGGGGAUCUUCGGACCUCACGCUAUCAGAUGAGCCUAGGUCGGAUUAGCUAGUUGGUGGGGUAAAGGCCUACCAAGGCGACGAUCCGUAACUGGUCUGAGAGGAUGAUCAGUCACACUGGAACUGAGACACGGUCCAGACUCCUACGGGAGGCAGCAGUGGGGAAUAUUGGACAAUGGGCGAAAGCCUGAUCCAGCCAUGCCGCGUGUGUGAAGAAGGUCUUCGGAUUGUAAAGCACCUUAAGUUGGGAGGAAGGGCAGUAAGUUAAUACCUUGCUGUUUUGACGUUACCAACAGAAUAAGCACCGGCUAACUUCGUG